UCUGGUUGAUCCUGCCAGUAGUCAUAUGCUUGUCUCAAAGAUUAAGCCAUGCAUGUCUAAGUAUAAGCAAUUUAUACAGUGAAACUGCGAAUGGCUCAUUAAAUCAGUUAUCGUUUAUUUGAUAGUUCCUUUACUACAUGGUAUAACUGUGGUAAUUCUAGAGCUAAUACAUGCUUAAAAUCUCGACCCUUUGGAAGAGAUGUAUUUAUUAGAUAAAAAAUCAAUGUCUUCGGACUCUUUGAUGAUUCAUAAUAACUUUUCGAAUCGCAUGGCCUUGUGCUGGCGAUGGUUCAUUCAAAUUCCUGCCCUAUCAACUUUCGAUGGUAGGAUAGUGGCCUACCAUGGUUUCAACGGGUAACGGGGAAUAAGGGUUCGAUUCCGGAGAGGGAGCSUGAGAAACGGCUACCACAUCCAAGGAAGGCAGCAGGCGCGCAGAUUACCCAAUCCUAAUUCAGGGAGGUAGUGACAAUAAAUAACGAUACAGGGCCCAUUCGGGUCUUGUAAUUGGAAUGAGUACAAUGUAAAUACCUUAACGAGGAACAAUUGGAGGGCRAGUCUGGUA
rnacentral:rRNA from 1 species